rfam:Erinaceus europaeus unplaced genomic scaffold scaffold00014, whole genome shotgun sequence
GUGUUGUAUGAAAGGAGAGAAGGUUAGAAAUGUCAGGGAUUAAAUCUGGCCCUUAGGUAUGCAAACCCUACGCUUUAAAGUUGAAUUAGUUCCCUUCAGAAGUUAUGUAAGAAAAAUAAAU